AGAGCGCGUGUGGCGGCCGAGCACAUGGGCCCGCGGGCCGGGCGGGCUCGGGGCGGCCGGGACGAGGAGGGGCGACGACGAGCUGCGAGCAAAGAUGUGCCCCGGGACCCCCGGCACCUUCCAGUGGAUUUCCUUGCGGAAAGGAUGUUGGCGGUCCCUGUGACCUGUGGAGACACGGCCAGAUCUGCCCUCCAGCCUGAUCUUUUGGCCAGAAGGAGAUUAAAAAGAUGCCCCUCAAGAUGGCUGUGCCUGUCAGCUGCAUGGAGCUUCGUUCAAGUAUUUUCUGAGCCUGAUGGAUUUACAGUGAUCUUCAGUGGUCUGGGGAAUAACGCUGGUGGAACCAUGCACUGGAAUGACACACGCCCGGCACAUUUCAGGAUACUAAAAGUGGUUUUAAGGGAGGCUGUGGCUGAAUGCCUCAUGGAUUCUUACAGCUUGGAUGUCCAUGGGGGACGAAGGACUGCAGCUGGCUGAGAGGGUUGAGAUCUCUGUUUACUUAGAUCUCUGCCAACUUCCUUUGGGUCUCCCUAUGGAAUGUAAGACCCCGACUCUUCCUGGUGAAGCAUCUGAUGCACGUUCCAUCCGGCGCUCAGCUGGGCUUGAGCUGACCAUACUCCCUGGAGCCUUCUCCCGAGGUGCGCGGGUGACCUUGGCACAUACAGCCAUCAUGAUGGUACUUUAAGUGGAGGCUGAAUCAUCUCCCCUUUGAGCUGCUUGGCACGUGGCUCCCUUGGUGUUCCCCUUUUACUGCCAGGACACUGAGAUUUGGAGAGGUAAGUGGCUUACCUGAGGCCAUGUGCUAACAGAGAAGAUGAAGAGAUGAUUGAAACAGGCCUAAGACCAGACCUAAGGGUCUGUACAUUUUCCACAUACUUUCCAUAUCUUUAGAGGCCUGACCAAAGCAGAUCUUUUCCUUUCUUCUAGGUAAGUCCAAAGGCACCUGCCUGCUGGGCCCACUGUUUUCUAACUUUCCUAACUUUCUGAUCCCUUGGAGGUGAUAAUCAAAUAUUCUAGUCUGAGGCAUUGGGAUACAUGGUGCUAGGUUCUGAGACUCUGCGUCAGGCCUGAACCCUGCAUUUUGUGGAGGUGGGUGGGAGAAUGUUCCCCUGGGGAACAUGCCUAGACACGGGGGACAACAGUUGCCCUCAUGGGGAGGUACCUGUUUACUCGCUGUUAUGGGACCGCUUUCACAAAACCACUGCAGGUGAGUGAGUUCCUGCUGAAUAUCAGGCCUGGUGUCUCUAGACUCAUUAUUUCCCCCACCCAACCCCUAUGUUAGUUCAUCUCGAGCCACAUUUUUAUUGCCAUAAUCCAGGCCUGGACAGGCCAAGAUCUUUUAACAAUUUUAAUUACUGAAAAUAAUAACUGCAUUUUUUUUAAAGCCCAACUUUUGGUAGAGUCAGCCCAAAAUACAGUCUUUGUGUUGCCAUCUGGGAACUGGAUUUGGAAUUGUUCUUCCAUGAGACUGCAGAGCAGAACGGCAGGGCCAGAGGUCCCACGAGCUGGUCAGACCCGGUUCUGCUCCUUGCUGGCUGAGUGACCUUGGGCAUUGUGAUUCAUAUUCUCAUCUGCCUUCAAGUGUGGUUACGAAUGCUUUUUAUCCUGCUUAUCAAUUUCUAUGAUUGCCAUAAAAUAUUAACACAAAUUUAGCAUUUAUAUAACAUAAUAUAUUAAUGCAUAGUUUUUUUGUGGGGGGGGGCGGUGGAGGGGCAGUGUUGAGACAGAGUCUUGCUCUGUCACCCAGGCUGGAGUGCAUGGUGUGAUCCUGGCCCACUGAACCUUGACCUCCAGGGCUCAAGGGGUCCUCCCACCUCAGCCUCCAGAGUAGCUGGGACUUCAGGCAUGAGCUACCACACCUGGCUAAUUUUUUGUAUUUUUUGUAGAGACGAGGUCUCACUAUCUUGCCCAGGCAGGCCUGGAACUCCUGGACUCAAGCGAUCCUCCCACCUCGGCCUUCUAAAGUGCUGUGAUUACAGGUGUGAGCCACUAUGUCCGGCUCACGUCCAGUUAUCUAGGGCAGAGGUCAGACAUGGAUCUCUCCAGGCUAACAUCAAGGAACCUGUAGGCUGCCUUCCAUUCUGGAGACUGCAGGGGAGAGUCUGUUCCUUGCUCAUUCUGGAUGUUGGCAGAAUUUGUUUCCUUGAGGUUGUAGGGCUGAGAUCCCGUUUUCUUGCUGGCUGUCCAGAUGCAUUGAGCUUCUGGAAGCCUCCUCGCUAGGCUUGUGGCCUCCUCUCUCCAUUUUCAAGUCCAGCAAUGGUGGGUCCAGUUCCUUUUAGGAUUUAAAUCUUUUCUCCCUCUUUCUUUUCACCUCUGUGAUCUCAGCUAGAAAAGAUUAUCUAAUUUUAAGGAUUCAUGUGAUUGGACUGGGGCCACCCUGAUAAUCCAGAAUAAUCCCUACUUCAAGGUCCUUAGGUUUAAUCACAUCUAGGAAGUUCUAUUGCCAUGGGAGGCAACAUAUUCACAGGUUCCAGGAAAUUCCGACAUGGGCAUCUCUUUGAUUGGAAUGAGGGGUGGCAGGUAUUCUGACACAGUACCUCAGAAGGGUUGCUGUGAUGAUGAAGUGAAUGGAGACACGUAAAGCGCUUAAAAUAUUAUGUAGAGCCAUGUGAAUUUGGCAGCAUUGAAUUGUUGACCUAUAAAAGGUCAACUUAAUAGUAUCUGGUCUAUAGUAAAUCUUCAGUAAAUGUUUGCUGUCAUUACUCUAGUGGUAGAAAUGUCAUGCUUUAUUUAGCCAGUUUGCUAUUGUUGGGCAUUACUUUUUAAAGAGUUAUUAUUUUGUUAUUAUAGUAUAUAUGUGAACACCGUGAUCAUCAUGCCUUUGCAAAUUUUAUUCUGAUUUAGGGCAAUGCAUGUCUUUCCAGGCCACACUCAGUCUCCUGCUCUGGUGCCAGUGUCUCUGUGGCCUGAGGGGCCCCUCUUUCUUGCAGAGCCCCUCAUCCAGCACCAGCUCAGCUCUGGGCCAUGUGUGUGGGGUGGGACUUUUCUCUUUUGGGAAGUGGGCCAUGCCUCUCCUUCCUGAGACCAUCCCCUUUGGCUUCCUCGGGGCCCUUGGCUCUUUGAACCAGCCUGCAGGGCACCACACCUGUGGGCCCAUUUUUGUCAGGAAACGACUCCCUUCCCAAGGGCACCCUGAGUCCCAGGUCCCCAGGCCCACAGAUGUUGGGCCCUCAGAGUGUGAUCCCAUGUCCCCAGCUCUGUAACUCCCUGCAUGUGGCUCUUAAGACUCACAAGCCCAUGUUUGCCUUGGCCAGACACUUUCGCCUGUCAGUUCUGCCAGUUGGGAAGUGUCAUCCCCACUGUGUGAAUGUGGAAGGGAUAAUGAAGAAUUUCCACGGCUUGCCUAGGGUCGUUGAGCAAUGUGGAAGGGAUCAUGGAGAAUUUCCAUGGCUUGCCUAAGGUCAUCAAGCUGGCAUCUCAACCCAGGUUCAUCUGCCUGUGAUGACAGGAAAGAAAUCAGGUGUGAUUCUGUUCUUGUUGACCCAUAGCCACCUCUCUCAUUAAGGCUUCUCCUGCAGGCAACUACACAGCCAGUGGUGGGAAAGCACCUAAUUUACAUCUUCAUGCAUUGAAACUGAUGUCACUCACCUCUCCCCCUUGACCUGGAAGAGCCCCUGAAGGCUGCCAUAGGGGAAAUGAUAACCCAUUCUACAGCUGCUGAAACUGAGGCCCAGGGAGUGUCCAGAGCUUUCUGAGGUCCACCAUGUACUGUUGACCAGGAUGAGUGAUAGCCACCUGGUGACAAUGUUGAAGGUUCUCAUUCAGUAGAGCUGGGUUCAAUUCUGACUUGCCUGACCAGCUGGUGCCUCAUUUUGCUCUAAGUAUUGGAGCCUCCAGCUUUAUUUUCUUUCAGUGGGAAAGACUGUGAGAUUCAGUCCCUCCUUGAAGCUGCGCAUCGACUCUCCUGUCCUGGGUACUCUUUAGGUAGUGGCUGUUCUGAAGUGGCUUUGGAAACCCUGGAAUGAAACUGUCAUGUCCAAUGCUGAGAUUUGUAUAAACUGUCAUUUUAACUGUGAUUAUUAUUCCUUAGGAUUUGAGAAAUAAAAUCUGAGGAGGGAGCAGGACCUGCCUCAGGGCCUCCUCUCCAAGUUGAGU
rnacentral:lncRNA from 1 species